rnacentral:rRNA from 1 species
CCUACGGGUGGCAGCAGUGGGGAAUAUUGGUCAAUGGAGGAAACUCUGAACCAGCAACGCCGCGUGAAUGAUGAAGGUCUUCGGAUUGUAAAGUUCUUUUCUAAGGGAAGAAGAAAGUGACGGUACCUUAGGAAUAAGCCUCGGCUAACUACGUGCCAGCAGCCGCGGUAAUACGGAGGAGGCGAGCGUUAUCCGGAUGGACUGGGCGUAAAGGGUGCGUAGGUGGUUUGACAAGUUGGUAGCGUAACUCCGAGGCUCAACCUCGGCACUACUACCAAUACUGUCGGACUUGAGUGCAGGAGGGGCAAGUGGAAUGCCUGGUGUAGCGGUGGAAUGCGCAGAUAUUAGGAGGAAUACCGGUGGCGAAGGCGAAUUGCUGGACUGUAACUGACACUGAGGCACGAAAGCGUGGGGAGCAAACAGGAUUAGAUACCCUUGUAGUC